UCAAUUUAUCUUCCAUAGAAAUCCACAUCUCCUCUUCGGAUGAAGAAGAAAUAUCAAAGUCCUUGAUACAAAACGGAAAGAAACAAUGGCCCCCAAACUCCGCAGAAGGCAAACAAAAGACCUCUUUCGAAGACGCAAAAGACAAGAGACUAGGUGGUGAUGUGAAGAUUAGCAAUGAUUAUACCAAGCAGGCAGACAGAACUGGUUACAGCGCUUCCAGCACCUCAGUUUUGGGAGUAUUCAGAAAAGACCAACUUCUACCGAACAUUUUAUACUGGCUGUAUUUUGCGGCGUACUUUCUACUUCAGUUGAAGCCUCUUACCGCUAGAUGGACAAACAGGUGAUAACAAAGUUAGUCAACAGGACACCAGAUGGCAGGUGGAUCGAUCACAGAAGGUUUUGGGACUGGGACCAACGACUGUGGAUAUUUUGAAACCAAAUAAAGACGUGUUGUUUUUCGCAAGAUGCGCGUCGAAUCAAAUUUGCUUUUAAAAUAUCAAUAUCAGAAGUUUAAUUCCUUCUAGAAAAGUAUAAUUUGACUUCAUGGAUCAAAAUGUGGAAAAGAAGAACGGGCAUGCGAUUUUUGACACAUUUUAUAUUAUAUACUUAUGUCAAAAAUGCUCGAAGCAAAAUACGUGUAUAGUAUUCUGGUUCCUGGUAGAAUAUAAGCGAAAUAAGAUAAAGUAAUAUAAAGUGUAGUUUUUAAGGAUACCUAGUUGAAUUUAAAAAGCAUUCUUAAGAAACAACCAGCAGCGUAAACUAUACCCGUUCUCAAAUAAUAUAAUAUUUAGAUAUUUUAGUGUGGUGUUAAUGGUCAUAUUCUAUUUUAUGUUUUACUUUUGGGUUGAUUAAAUCAUGUUCUACUGGUUGUUUUAUCAAUAAGAUAUUGUAAAAGAACAUCUACUUAUAGUUAACGUGAUUUAUGAGAAGCGCCACAUUGGCAUCCGCCAUCUUGGGCGUCUAACCAUGAUAAGUUUUGUGACUUAUCAAAUGUCAGUAAUUUCUAUAAUUAAUAAACAGUAUGAUGCUUAUGCAAUAUUUAGUGACAAAGUUCAAAUUUAUACAAAUAUUACUUAACAGAUCUAUUCUGAUAACCUUCACAAAAUAUGCACUGUAGAUAGGGGAAUACUGUGAAGGUUAUCUCAUAACUUUAUCGUCCCAUACUGAUCUGUUGUUUAUUAUUUAUUACAAGAUACAGAUUACUCUUUGCCAUUUCCAUUCAGUUAACCGUGAUUAUCCACAUGAUUUACGAUGUUUUUUUUGUUUGAUUUAUUGCUUAAUGAAUAAAUAUAUAUUAAUUAUAAAGUUGUACGAUUGUUAACCCACUUAUUGAACUUUAUUUUUUCAAUUACUAGUUUAAGAAUAGAUGUAAGCUACGAAAUUUAGUAUUUCGUAAUUCAAAAGUACUAGAUAUCUGGUUAAUAUAAGUUAUAAGAUUAAUUAAAAUCAUAUCAGUGAAAUAAACAUCAAUAUAAGUACAUUGUGCUAAAUGUGAUCUUCAAAAUUAUCAAAUACUUGGUAAACAACACUAUUUAAACUGUAUUUCAAAGAAAUCUAUCCUAACGUGGUAUACUUAUGAUUUAACAACUUUUCAUUUGUCAAGAAUUUGGCGUUUUAUUGUAUUAGCUAGAGAAUAAAGUUUUACCGUGGGACACAAGUCUUUCUGAAAAUAGCAGUAGUUGUUUAAACACUAAUAACGUGCAAUAUAAGACAGCAACAUUACUUAUAACGCUAAAAAUCGGGGGUUCGAUACCCACGGUAAGCAUAGUACAGAAAGCCCGUUGUGUAGUUUCGCGGUUAACAUAAACAAAAAAAAAAAAACGUAAUAUAAAAAGCGAAAAGACGAGACAGCUUUGGGAGCGUAUUCUUUUCAUGUCAUAAUUCAGUAGGAAAUGUAAGGAAUCCUGCAGUUUGAUAAUCGGUCAAUAUUAUGGCCCGGCAUGGCCAGGUGGUUAAGGCACUCGACUCGCAAUCUGAGGGUCGCGGGUUCGA
rnacentral:lncRNA from 1 species